UGCUCGCAGAUCUUUUAGUGACCGCUAAGC
rnacentral:piRNA from 1 species